UAUAGAUGACAGACACAAGCGUCUUCGUUCUCAGACGUUUAAGGGUCACGGAGAACCUGGAGCCUAUCCCAGGGAGCAUCGGGCACAAGGCGGGGUACACCCUGGACAGGACAUCCAUCUCUCUGAAUCAGCCACCUGUUGCCGAUCGGAAAAGCGCGGGAGCUCUGAGGGAUGCAGAUGCAGGAUCGUGCCAUUCUGACAGCCUCUCAGAAAGCAGAGGGAAAACACUCGCUGGAAUCUCAGCCUAAUUGCAUGGGGUUCUCUCAUUAAUCAUUUUCUGUCCAUCACGCCGAGCGGCUGCCAAAUCCCCGUGUCUGAGAGAGGAACGCCAGCUUUCCUGCAUUGCUGCGGAUGAACUGCUAGAAACACCAUGACAGUGUGAGGUAUCAUUUUCAUUCACGUGAAAACUAUCUACACCUGAAUCACAUUACGCCCGGAAAGAGUCCUGUUUUAAGAUGUUCAUCAAAGUCAGCAGGAAAAGGUUAAACAGGUUCUUGUGAUUAAAGGCAGAAAUGUUAUUGCGAUGAUGCAAUCUAGUGCAGCUGCCCUCCACUGUAUCUUGUGCAUGACCUAAUGAGUUUAGUAUACAGUCAUUUAUCAGUGCAGCUUUAAUUUAUCUGAGCUGUUAAAACGUUAGACUCGAGGCUCUUUUCCUGUUGGGUCUCACUGCUGAUGGAAUGCUAGAAUGAGUCAUUCUGGGUAACUCAAUCCAGGUGAAUAGCAAAAUGAGAGGCUCUCACUCAGGUCAGCCAAGAGACAGAGGAAAUCAGAAGAAAGAGAUGGAAAGCACAUUGUAGAGCUACUUCUGUACGUAAAAAUACCACCUUAAGCCAAUUCUACACUGUGCGGUCUUGGCACUCUUUUAACAUGAUCCCGAGAUUACAAAAUCUUGGCUGAAUUCUAUAAGAGACUAUACGAUAAUGUGUUCUUCACGUCAGAUUAUAAUCAUGAAGAUCCUCUAACUAUAGGCCUUCAGUGUAAACAUUCUGCUUGCGUCAUCAAUCAGAGUGAUCUGGGCUUGUGCACAGAACAGCACUGUAUAAACAUGAACAUUCUUGAGGAAAUAAGGUUAUUUUUUCUGACCAUUAGCACAUUUGCUUUGUAUCUCACUAUUGACACUACUGUAUUUGUAGCUGUCUUGUGAGUUUCAUGGCAUCUAUGGCGUCCUCCUAUGGGUGGCUUUUCACGUUCUGAUAUUUGUGAAGGGUGAAGACUAACGCCUGCUUUCUCAGAGACACGUGAAUCCUGCUCAGAGCACACUCGGAGGAAAGCGUUAUCGACAAUCAUCCGCAUACAUGAGCUCAGAGAUGCCCAUGAUUGGAUGAAUGCUUUUCUGUUGUCCUGCUUGUGAACCCUCACUCUUACGUGAACCUGAAUUCAGGCAAUUUUACUGGGGUUAUCUCAUACAGUGUAGCAAGUAAUAAUCUGGAAAGACCUUUGUAAUAUCACAGUCUAAAACUGGAUUUAAAGAGAAGCAAAUUAGUAAAUGAAUCAUACGUAAAUGAAUCACAUGAAAAUGUAUCACUUGAACAUGAAUCACAUGAAAAUGAAUCACAUGUAAAUGAAUCAUACGUAAAUGAAUCACAUGAAAAUGUAUCACUUGAAUAUGAAUCACAUGAAAAUGAAUCUCAUGAAAAUGAAUCACAUGUAAAUGAAUCAUACGUAAAUGAAUCACAUGUAAAUGAACCAUAUGAAAAUG